GUCUUGAAACACGGACCAAGGAGUCUAGCAUGUGCGCGAGUCAUUGGGAACAACUAAACCUAAAGGCGCAAUGAAAGUGAAGGUCCGCCUCGCGCGGACCGAGGGAAGAUGGGCGGACGGGCCUCACACGCUCGCCCGUCCCGCACUCCCGGGGCGUCUCGUUCUCAUUGCGAGAAGAGGCGCACCAAGAGCGUACACGCUGGGACCCGAAAGAUGGUGAACUAUGCCUGGUCAGGACGAAGUCAGGGGAAACCCUGAUGGAGGUCCGUAGCGAUUCUGACGUGCAAAUCGAUCGUCGGAAUUGGGUAUAGGGGCGAAAGACUAAUCGAACCAUCUAGUAGCUGGUUCCCUCCGAAGUUUCCCUCAGGAUAGCUGGCGCUCGUCGCAUACGAGUCUCAUCCGGUAAAGCGAAUGAUUAGAGGCAUUGGGGUCGAAACGGCCUCAACCUAUUCUCAAACUUUAAAUGGGUGAGAUCUCCGGCUUGCUCGAACCACUGAAGCCGCGAGACACGGAUCAGAGUGCCAAGUGGGCCAUUUUUGGUAAGCAGAACUGGCGCUGUGGGAUGAACCAAACGUCGAGUUAAAGCGCCUAAAUCGACGCUUAUGGGAUACCAUGAAAGGCGUUGGUAACUUAAGACAGCAGGACGGUGGCCAUGGAAGUCGGAAUCCGCUAAGGAGUGUGUU
rnacentral:rRNA from 1 species